AUACCUUUCUCGGCCUUUUGGCUGAAAUAAAAUAUACUAUUUGCUAUUAUCAUUUUAAUAUAUGAUAUAUGGACCAUAUGUUCAAAUAUUUUUUUAUAGGUAUCGAAU
rnacentral:snRNA from 1 species